rnacentral:rRNA from 1 species
AUUGAACGCUGGCGGCAGGCUUUACACAUGCAAUUCGAACGAGCGGCGGUCGGGUGAGUAAUGUAUGGGGAUCUGCCUGAUGGAGGGGGGUAACUACUGUUAACGGUCGCUCUUACCGCAUACCAUCAGAUGAACCCAUAUGGGAUUAGCUUGUAGGUGAGGUAUCGUCUCACCUAGGCGACGAUCCCUAGCUGGUCUGAGAGGAUGAUAAGCAACAAUGGGACUGAGACACGGCCCAGACUCCAACGGGAGGAAGCAGUGGGGAAUAUGGGACAAGGGGGGCAAGCCUGAUGCAGCCAUGACGCGUGUAUGAAGAAGGCCUUCGGGUUGUAAAGUACUGUCAGUCGGGAGGCGUUACCGGCAGAAGAAGCACCGGCUAACUCCGUGCCAGCAGCCGCGGUAAUAC